GACGAACGCUGGCGGUAUGCUUAACACAUGCAAGUCGAGCGAGAAUCGUUUAUUGAAGGCUUCGGCUGGAAAUAGAUGAGGAAAGCGGCGAACGGGUGAGUAACGCGUGGGCAACCUGGCCUUAAGAAAAGGAUAGCCCCCGGAAACGGGGAGUAAUACUUUAUGAGAAUGAAAGAGGGCAUCCUACUUUCAUUCAAAGCGCAAGCGCUUAAGGAUGGGCCCGCGUAUCAUUAGCUAGUUGGUGAGAUAACAGCCCACCAAGGCAACGAUGAUUAGCCUGUCUGAGAGGGCGAACGACCACAUUGGAACUGAGAGACGGUCCAAACUCCUACGGGAGGCAGCAGUGGGGAAUAUUGCGCAAUGGAGAAGAACUCUGACGCAGCAAUACCGCGUGAGCGAAGAAGGUCUUCGGAUCGUAAAGCUCUGUUAUCAGGGAAGAGGAAAAUGACGGUACCUGAUGAGCAAGUCCCGGCUAACUACGUGCCAGCAGCCGCAGUAAGAC
rnacentral:rRNA from 1 species